rnacentral:rRNA from 1 species
UUUAAUGAGAGUUUGAUCCUGGCUCAGGACGAACGCUGGCGGCGUGCCUAAUACAUGCAAGUAGAACGCUGAGGUUUGGUGUUUACACUAGACUGAUGAGUUGCGAACGGGUGAGUAACGCGUAGGUAACCUGCCUCAUAGCGGGGGAUAACUAUUGGAAACGAUAGCUAAUACCGCAUAAGAGUAAUUAACACAUGUUAGUUAUUUAAAAGGAGCAAUUGCUUCACUGUGAGAUGGACCUGCGUUGUAUUAGCUAGUUGGUGAGGUAAAGGCUCACCAAGGCGACGAUACAUAGCCGA